UCGUCCGUCCUGGGGAGAGAAUAUUGAUUGAUAUUGAGAGGAUAUUUGCACCCGUAUUGAUUGAUUUGUGUUAUCUGACGUCCACUGUCAGCGUCCCGUCACCGAUCAUUGCGACGGGCAACUAGCAGGUUGACUCUGCCAUCAUUCAACCACCGCUCCUCCCUUUAAACAGGAGAGCGCGCUAAGCCAGUAGGACUAUGGAGUGGAUAUAAGGAUAAGGAACUUGGAUAGAACGGAGGAGAGGGACGAUAUCCAACCAUUUUGACCAUUGGGGGAUCGAACGCCGACCUGUAUGAAGGGAGCUCAUCGCUGUACCAACCAUGGUCGAGGCGGAGAGGCGAGAGUCGGACUGGUCGUUGGCCAGAGUGGCUGGGAGAAUCAGUCCAAUACGAAAUGUGUAAUACGCAUAGAGGAAGAACUAGCGAGGGAUCACUGGAAAUUACUGUGUGUGUGCCUCUGGCGGGCCGUUGAUCUGUGUGUGUCCUGACGGCCGGAGAGGCUGAAAGGCAAGAUGUUAAAGAACUUGACCGAGGAGAAUAGUGGGAGACGUGAAAGAUAGUUUGAGAAAGUGUGUUGUGGUUGGAUAGCUGGGAGGAUAUCCGACCACAUCGUGCUCCCUCUGGCUUUCCUGCCACAUCGUGCUCCCUCUGGCUAUCCUGCCACAUCGUGCUCCCUCUGGCUAUCCUGCCACAUCGUGCUCCCUCUGGCUAUCCUGCCACAUCGUGCUCCCUCUGGCUAUCCUGCCACAUCGUGCUCCCUCUGGCUAUCCUGCCACAUCGUGCUCCCUCUGGCUAUCCUGCCACAUCGUGCUCCCUCUGGCUAUCCUGCCACAUCGUGCUCCCUCUGGCUAUCCUGCCACAUCGUGCUCCCUCUGGCUAUCCUGCCACAUCGUGCUCCCUCUGGCUAUCCUGCCACAUAGUGCUCCCUCUGGCUAUCCUGCCACAUCAUGCUCCCUCUGGCUAUCCUGCCACAUCGUGCUCCCUCUGGCUAUCCUGCCACAAAAUAGAAACAGCACAUAAAUAGUUUUGUUCAUUUUUAUAAAUUGGUGCUGCCUCAUUUAGGCCAAUAGACCU